GUGCUCGCUUCGGCAGCACGUAAACUAAAAUUGGAACGACACAGAGAAAAUUAGCAUGGCCCCUGCGCAAGGGUGACACGCAAACUCAAGAAGUGUUCCAUGUCUGU